UUAAUUAAGAUUUCUGAUAUUUACAAAAUGACGGGCAUCCUACUAAAAUGCUUCUUAUUUAAUCUCUCCCUGAAGGUUUGAACCAUUGCCCCUAAUUCGCAGAUGAAGAAAUUGAGGUCCAGGAAGAGUGAUUUACACAAUUAGGAAGUGACAGAGCCAGGAAGAAAACUCUUAAUGUAACUCUUUUCCACCUCUCUUAACUCUGUAAUGUAUGGGUUAACAUCCAGCUGAAGUCAGAAUUCCCUGGGCAGAGGACAAAAACAGAUUAAGGAGAAAAUACCCAUUUUGUUUGUGGCUGUACAGCCCAUCUUGUCUUCAUAGCAGCUCAUCAGAAAAUCCCAUGAUCUGUUUGUUCAUUCAUUCAACAAACAUGUGCUGAGUCGGCCUAUGAGCCAGGCGCUGCACUCAGGCAAUGCAACAAGCAGACAUUAAUAUCUGCCUUCGGGGAGCUGACAUUCUAGUCGGGUAGGGUUUUGGGGGAGACAGGCAAUAAACAAUAAGUGUAAGAAAACAGUAAUUUAAUUGUAUAUUAAAAUAAGUGCUAUGAGAAAAGCAGAGCCUGAUAAGGGGGCUUGAGAGUAUUGGGGAGGUAGGAGAAGAUUGCAGUUAUAAAUAGGGUCGCCAGGGUAGGAUUCAUUGAGAAGACAGAGAGGGCAUCACCUUCUGCUGCCUUAGGAAACAGUUUUCUAGGCAGAGGGAAUGGCCUGGGCAAUGGUUCUGCGGCUAGAGGGGGCUUGGAACAGGAGGACGGCUGCAGGGCUAGAGAGGAGGGAGGAGGUAAGAGAAGGGGAGAGAAUGAUGGGGUAUAAGGUCUGGAGGAUGGGGACAGGUCACAUCCUGUAGGAUUUUGUAGAUCAUUAUAAAGACUGCUUUUCACUCUGGAUGCCAUGGGAGGCCAUCAGGGGAGUGACAUGAUCCGACGCUCAUUUUAACCAGAUGGCUCUACCUCUGCUGAGAGUAGCUACAGAGCCAUGGAUGGAAGCAGAACACCAGGUAAGAGGCACUCCAGGAAAUCCAGCUGACCGACGAUGGUGGCCAGAGACCGAGGAGGAUCUGUUGCCCCCUUCAGUUGUAGAUGACCUGGAUAAAUAGCUCUGCCGUCCUCCGAAGAAGGAAAUCUCUCAGUGACCAUUUGCCUGAGGAAGCUCACCCAUUUAGACUGUCACCAGCAUGGUCAUUCUUGCUGGUGAGUAUUGGACAAAUCAGAAAAUGACUCCACCAGAUAGGUGUCCUUGAGAGGCCAGACCUCAGAAGGUGAAUUCCCUUCAGUUGUAGAUGACCUGGAUAAAUAGCUCUGCUGUCCUCCGAAGAAAGAAAUCUCUCAGUGACCAUUUCCCUGAGGAAGCUCACCCGUUUUGACUGUCACCAGCAUGUUCAUUCUCACUGGUGAGUAUUGACAAAUCGGAAAAUGACUCCACCAGCUAGGUAUCCUUGAGAGGCCAGACCUCAGAAGGUGAUCAAGAAUACAAGCUUCUACCUGUUGUCUCUCACCUGUUUCCUGGAGGCCUGUGUCCCAGGCUUUAGCAAGUGUGAGCCACCCACAUCUGCCUGAGGAAAUUGGCCCUCAGUUGGCAGCCACUAGCCCUGAGCCAGAGUCUCUGCUGUGAGGCUGCAGCAGCGGCAUCUGUUACCCUCUCCCCACAUCCAGGCGGCCCUGAGUCACACAGCUUUGCACUGUUUCCCUCUCCAGUUCGCAUUCAAACCCCUUGAAACAUAGCUCCACUAACAGAGGAACGGUGUCCUAAAGGGACUCUUGAUAAGACAACCCAAAACAUAAGCUAUGACGUUGAAUACUGGCCCUCACGGUCUGAUUCCUGGAACCUGCGCACGUUACCUUGCAUGACAAAAGGGAUUGUGCAGACUAAGUAAGAGAGUUUGAAAUGGAGAUAGCACCCUGAUGGUACUUUCCAGGGGGGCCUGAUCUCGUCCCAUGACUUCUUAAAGAGGACAAUCUUCAGAGGGAGACAUGACAAGAAGAAUGGUCAGAGAGAUGCCAAACGCAGCUGGCUGGUGGAGGAAGGCGUCAUGGCCAAGGAUGUGGGCGGCCUCUGGGGGAGGAAGAGGUAAGGAAAUCGAUUCUCCCUGGAAAGAAGCACAGCCAGCUUCCAGGAAGGAACACAGCCCUGUUAACACCUUGAUUUUAGUCCAGUGAGUCCUGGGUAGGACUUCUGACCUCCAGAAUUUGCGUUAUUUUAAGCCAUUGAAUUUGUAAUAAUUUGCUAUAACAGCAACAGGAAAUUAAGACAAGUAUUCUGGCUGAAAGUGUUUAAUGUGAAUCUGACAAAGGGUCUAUAGUUCCUCUAGAUUGAAGGAAAUACAGGGGCUGAGGGAGCAAAUUAAAUGACAGCAGGAGGAAACAGCAGAAACCCAAAACAUGGCAUGUUUUGAAGACAACUAGCCUGGAUUAUUUUAAAAGCACUGUUAAGGAUAAGAAAUUCAGGAGGGACUGCUUUGGACUAAAAUUGAAGAGACGAACAAAAGGAGCAUGUGAUACUCGAUUAGAUCCUGAUUCAAAAAAAGAAGGGAAAGAAAACUACACAUGUGGAGAAGUUUAAAUAUAAAAAUGUUAUUCCUAACUGCUGGAAUAUAUAAGGGUAAACUAUCAUAGUGACUGCAGCUUAAUUUCAAAUAAUUCUGAAGAAAAGGUACAGAAAGGAGGGAGGGAGGGAGAAAAAUAGAGUAAGGAAAGAGAAAGAAAGAAUAUAAAUAUGACAAAAUGUUAACUGCCCAGUCUGGGUGGAACAUUUCUGCUACAAUGAGUUGGUUCUAUAGUCUUUCAAUUUUUCUUCUAUUUGAAGAUGUUCACAAUAAAACUUGAGAUGAGGAGAAACCUGAGCUGUUGGAGAAUUUUAAGACAGAACAGCCGUCAUGGCAAAUGCUAUAUACAUAGAUGGAUGUCUGUGUUGGGUUUUACAGUGUCUUCCAUUCAUGUGCUAAUUCAUUCAUUUAUUUUUUUCAUUUACAUACUUAUCAAGCAUGCAUUGUCUUCUCUUUCAAGGUCCCUAGUUAAGCCACAGAGCUCACAGGUGGAGAACUCCUCCCAGAGGAGGGAAUGCACCUGUUGAAAUUUCCUGCUGUGCUCUAGGCAGUUGGCUAGCCUGGAGUGAGAAAGACCCACUUCUGGAUGAAGCAGAAAGAGAUCUUAGCAACUGUCUCCCCUGGUCAGAGAGAAAGGAAGGGAAUGGGAAAGAUCUUCUGGAGGCUGGCAGGCUGUGCUCUGCCGCAAUCCCAGGACUCACCAAACAGGGCACUUGGCCCAGAGACCACCCAUCUGCCAGAGCCAGGCAGAAUCAUUCAUUCUGCCCAUCAGCUAAAGUUUCUUGAUCCCUAUGGUGUGUCAGGAGCCAAUCUUGAUGCUAUGGGUUCACAGCGGAGCAACCAGAGUUCCUACGCUUGUGGCGUUUAUGUUCUUUUUGAGGCUGGGGAUGAGAAAUAAGCGAAUAAAAGAGUAAAGGUGAUGUCAGGCAGUGAGAAAUGCUGCAAAGACAAACGAAGCAGAGUGCUGGGGGGUGGGGGUGUAGAGAGAAGCCUGUGCAGUGGGGAUAUCCUCCUGAGAAGGCGGUCUUUGCAAGGAGGCCCGAGUGAAGUGAGGAAUUCACCACCGGGACCUGUGGGAGGAGGAAAAGCAUGAGCAGAGCCCGGGUGGAGAAUGUUCUCAGUGUGUUCAAGCACGGGGACAGUGUGGGAGAUGGCAGGAAAAGAGGCUGUGGGGUAAUAGUAAUCGUUUUUAAAAUUUCGUCUCUGUUCUUGGUUCCUGCCGGGAGAGUGCCUAUAAUCCUUAGGAUUUCCUGAGUGACAGAGGUGAUAGGACUGUCUUUUGUUGUUUGUAACAAACAACAAACCACACCCUUUCAACCACACCGAAUUAUGUUGAGUCUGUUUUUCCUGUUUCAGCCAGCAACAGUUCGCCCUCAGGUGGGAAAGAUUUGAAUUUACAUCUCUGUCACUCCCAAGGGUCAUCUGAAUUCGCCAGCUGUCAUAAUCAUCAGAAGGGGUUUGGACUUGACUCAGGUCCAAAACAUAAUAAUACAUUAUAUUUAUGACAUUAUGAUAAUAUCAAAAACAUAAGAGCAAGCUAAGACUGACUUAAAUGCCAUGGUGACUCACAUAACCAACAGGGUGGGUUAAAAAAUCGAACGAAGAUCCAAGGGCCCACCCACUCAAUGAAAUUCUUAAGAAUCUGGACAGGUGCCACCCAGGACAUUCCCCAGGUGACUGAAAAUAAACUGCUGCUGUCACACACCCAUAGGACCAAACAAGAGGCCCGAUAUUGGGUUGGUUUAUUCAGAUUUGGGAGGAGCACAGAUUCAACAUCUGGAAAUAUUGUUAAUUCCUAUCCAUACGAUCCCCAAAAGAUCACGUUAGAGCAGGAAGCUGAACUUACACAGGCUGUGUCUGAAUUAGAAAAAGCAGCCGCUCUCUCAGCACCUCUGAACCCUAAGAUGCCCAGUCAAUAUGAUUUGGGGGAGUGUCUGCCGCUGGGUGUGCAGAAUGGAAACUACGGCAAAAGUCUGUGUGUGUCUCCCAGUGGUGACCACUAAAUUUUGGACGAAGAUUUCCACACUACUUGAGAGACAAUUACUAGCUUGCCUUUAGGCAUCUGAGAUCACCUCGAUGCCUGAAGGACAUGAAAUAACCGUAAAACCUGAGAUACCCAUAGCGUCUCGGAUGACGUCAGAAAAACACUCUAAUAAGGAAGGCAGUGCCCAGAGAAGGUCCAUAAUAAAAUGAAAAUCAUUUCUACAGGAACAAGCUACCAGGGGAAUCAAAGAGGCACCCACUGCAUCCACAGGCAGGCAGCCUCUUUUCCCUGAAGACUGACUUUGGAACCACCUGAGGACCUGCAGGGACCUAAUGCCACUUGGACAGUCCCAAGAGCAGCAAUCAAACUGACCGACAAAGAGCUCCUUAGUUUAUGGACGGCAUUUCCAAGGGCAAUGGGCAGUAUCCUGUUUGGAAAAAGGCAACAUCAAGACCAGUGGAUAGAAACACUCUGAUUGAGGAAAGUAAGAAUAAAUCAGCUCAGCAGGCUGAAUCGCAUGUUCUUUUCACGGCAGUGAUAGAAGAACUGAACAAUAGUGAAAAUGAGUUUUUACCAACUCAUGGCCAGUAGCCAGCAUGGUCAUGUAAAUGGCAACGGACAAAUGACUAUUAGAGGUCUGCUGUUAGAGGUCCAUCCCUGUGGAAAUCACUCUGGGAAUUCAAGGGGCUCAAAAGUAAGACUGUUGAUGCCCAUCAGAAGAACUCCUUUCCAGGUUCAGAAGGCGACCGGAACCAAGUGGGCCUUUUGGUGUACUCCCCUGGCCACCUGGAUCCAUCUGGAGAUGGGGUGGUUGCAGCAAUGCAGAGAUGGACCUUAAAAGGAAGCAGAGCAUUUUCCUGAGGUCGGUGAGUCAUAGAAGCAAAUUAUGGAAUCUGAUCAGUAUUAUGCCCGUUUUACAAUUACAGUAAAAGUAUGGCUCCGAAAUCAUGGGUAACUUACACAUGGCUGCACACAUGGGCAUGGGUGAAACAAAAUUUGAGUUCAGGCCUGUCUGACGAUGUCUGCCUGCAAAGGGAGGAGCAGAACGAGUGUGGAGGCCUCCCUGGCUGCACAAGGAUUCUUUAGGUGGCAGAAUGGAAGUUUGGGAUGAGAGGCAACUGCUCAGCUGUGGCUGAAAAGUGCAGGAGAAGUAAGAGCAAUACAGUUCCUGAGAUUGGGCCAAAGGCUUUAUAGCCAGACAAAAAAGGGAUAAUGUGGUUAAAAAGGUGUGCCUGAUCAAAUAGGUGCAUUUUUAUUCCUUUUAGAACAUGCUGCCCUGCUGCUCUACAUGACACUGGAUCAAUGGGCUUCUCUGCUUUAGGAAAAGGGCUAAUCAGAAGUCAGUUUAAUUAGCUCCAUACACAAAAGGCACAAAUUUCCAGUUAUAAAAUAAUAAGUCCUGGGGAUAUAAUGUAUAGCAUGGUGACUAUAGUUAAUAAUACUCUAUUGCAUAUUUGAAAAUUACUAAGAGAGUAGAUUUUAAAAGUUCUCAUCACAAAGACAAAAAUUUUGUAACUAUGUAUGGUGGCAUAUAUUAACUAGACUUAUUGUCAUGAUCAUUUGGCAAUAAAUAAAAAUACCAAAACACUGUAUUGUACACCUGAAACUAAUGUAAUGUCAUAUGUUUUUACUUCGAUAAAAAAAAAUGUGAAGUUUAUCAAUAUAGAGACAGUCAUUAAUAUAAUGUAUCAUAUUCUUAGAUUCAAGAAGAAAAUCAUGUUACUAUUUCCAUAAGUGCUAAGUAACUUAGGACACAUUUCCAUAUUCAUUCCUGAAAAAAGAGAAUCAUUUCUUAGCCUUGACCCCUAAAAUUGACUUUCUCGGGUCUCUAAGGAGAGAGCAGUGUUAAAUACCAGGGUUUUUGCAGGAGGAAAAGGCUCUCUAUAUUGGAAAAGUUUCCCCUUACUUCUCAGGAACUAAACGUGGCAAUCUAGGAUCACAGAGUCACCGCACAGGCCAGAGGGAAGACCCCAGAUAUCAUGUAGGUAAUCCUUCUUGGUACAAGAAGAAGUACAAGAAAAAUAGGGCAAAGGGGUCAGAAAGAGUGUCCUGGCUCCGCCCACUA